GGUCAGCUGAGAGGGAGGGGAACGCUGAAUUGUGAUGGAGAAAAUCCUUAUUUUAAUCACAAAUGUGUAUAAGAACUGGAAAGACAAUAUGAAAAGGCAGGUCAAGGAAGCUGCGUUUGAACAAGUGUUUUUGAUUAAGGAAGAUUGGUACUCAACUUUGUAAGGAUGCCAUGGGUGCCCUUCUCAGCACAGCACUAGAGAUUUGAAACAAAUCACCUGAACAGGGGAAAGGACUACAAGGAGUGUGCAUGAGCCUGAGGAAAAGAGCUGCCUUCUGCCCCGAAGAGCAGGAGUCCAUCUUCAGUGGGACACAUCUGUUGGCUUGUCUGCCCACGCUUCCCCUCUCUGGGAUUUGCUCGCCCGGCUACAUGUUUAUGAGGACAGCCGUGGUCAUGCAAUGUCCCUUUGGUUUUGGGGGGAUUUGGAAGGGGUAUCUGUUAGAGGCAAACAGCCACUCUGUCCUGGGAGAUUUUGACUUUCUCUUUUUCAUGCGUUUUUGCUUUUAUCAAAGUAGGUAAUCUGCUACUGGCCAGAUACACAACUGCAUUUGGAUACUGUAGUGGGGUCCAAGGACUACCCAAACCACUGCCUGGGAAUGCCAGUUUCUCAUAACGAGUUAGAAAUCAAUGCUAGCAGCUUCCCUGCUAAGUGAAAAAAUUACAUAAUUCCUUCUGCACCACUGCAUUAGGCAGAUUUUUUUUCUCUUUCUGAACAUACAGUAAAUCCCAAGUGUUUUAAGCCAUGGUACCUCUCUUUAAACACAAUAUGAAAUCACUACCAAAUUUAAAUAAAAAAUAAAUUCGAUGUAGCGCUAA